GACGAACGCUGGCGGCGUGCUUAACACAUGCAAGUCGAACGGAAAGGCCCUGCUUUUGUGGGGUGCUCGAGUGGCGAACGGGUGAGUAACACGUGAGUAACCUGCCCUUGACUUUGGGAUAACUUCAGGAAACUGGGGCUAAUACCGGAUAGGAGCUCCUGCUGCAUGGUGGGGGUUGGAAAGUUUCGGCGGUUGGGGAUGGACUCGCGGCUUAUCAGCUUGUUGGUGGGGUAGUGGCUUACCAAGGCUUUGACGGGUAGCCGGCCUGAGAGGGUGACCGGCCACAUUGGGACUGAGAUACGGCCCAGACGCCUACGGGAGGCAGCAGUGGGGAAUAUUGCACAAUGGGCGGAAGCCUGAUGCAGCAACGCCGCGUGCGGGAGGACGGCCUUCGGGUUGUAAACCGCUUUCGCCUGUGACGAAGCGUGAGUGACGGUAAUGGGGAAAGAAGCACCGGCUAACUACGU
rnacentral:rRNA from 1 species